UGUAACAACUCACCUGCCGAAUGGGUUAGCCCUGAAAAUGGAUGGCGCUUAAGCGGAUCACUUAUACUCGACCAACAUGGUAAAUGCGAGACCAUGUUGAGUAGGGAGGCGUGGGGUUUGUCGUGCAUGUCGUGGCGCAAGCCGGACUGAAACAGACUCUAGUGCAGAUCUUGGUAGAAGUAGCAAAUAUUCAAAUGAGAAC
rnacentral:rRNA from 14 species